UGAGGAAUAUUGGUCAAUGGGCGAGAGCCUGAACCAGCCAAGUCGCGUGAGGGAAGACGGCCCUACGGGUUGUAAACCUCUUUUGUCAGGGAGCAAGAGCAGAUACGUGUAUCUGAGCGAGAGUACCUGAAGAAAAAGCAUCGGCUAACUCCGUG
rnacentral:rRNA from 1 species